GCCGGAGUGGCGGAACGGUAUACGCGCGCGACUCAAAAUCGCGUGUCCUCGUGACUUGUGGGUUCGAUUCCCACCUCCGGCACCA
rnacentral:tRNA from 1 species